UCAUCACCCCAGUGUUGGCCUCUGGUGUCUCCUUAACAGUUUCCAUGCCUCCCUCAGUAUUGCCCAUCAGAGUAAUGCUCACUGUCUGUUCCAGGAUGCCAUACUCCGCUCGCACGGACACUCCAGGCUCAUCAUCUGCACUGUUUGCUUGGGUUUGAGGAUCAGUCAUUUCUGUGGAAGCCUCGAUCCUGCCACAGAAAGUGGUAUUAAAAACCAAGAUCUGGAUUCUCCUUUUGCCUCUCCCGCAACCUUCAUCAUACCUGAGGCUCCUGAACUAGACAGACAGCAGCAUGUUGUCUUCUGGGAGGCUCCACCCAGUGGCUGGCUUGGAUGGAUGCAGAUACCCACAGCAAACAGUGGAUGGGGCUUGGACACUCUUAUAGAAGAAUAAGAGCACCUUGCUCAUUCCCGUAUUGGUGAGCUCUGGCUGUGGACCGCUGGCUGGGUGCCUCCCCCAAGGCUGGAAAGCAGGAGCUGUCGAAUAAUGGGGUUAACUGUAUUUCUGCCUCACCCUGGGCCGUGGUGGCAGUGAACUCUGCGUCUAGCGAUUUACCUUAUAAAUAUCCUGCAACAACAAGGAUGAACCGCUGGUUCCUUCUGUCUAAGGGCCCCAUGGACCAUUCCGAGUGAAGGACAGUCUCAGGCCAAGACCUUGGUUCUACCUCUUAAUUUUGAGCCAAGUACUUCCUGUAUGCCACUGUGGAUGGUAGUGAUGAUGUCCCUCCUCCCAGGAGUCUCAGGACAGCGGCAUCCUGGGAUUGGAAGCCAGAGGUAGGUCUCUUGGGACUAUCCUCACCUGAACUGGGGGAGGUGUUAUCUCUCUGCUCCAUUGUGCCUAAUCUGACCCAGUAAGACCGACCCCUCUUGUGCCCUGAAGUCACUGUGUGACUACACUGCCCCCUAGUGGCAGAAUGGUACACCUCCCUGCACCGGCAGCCAUCCAGUUCCAUUGGGUUUUAUUAUCUCAACAAUACAUGCAGCCUAUCAGUGAACGGUGUGCUUCCUGCCAUCCUGGAGAGACAUAAAAACUGAGAUCAGAGAGUUCUUUGUACAGCGAUGCCCAGUACGCGACCCCUCUCUGCCUUCCAAAGACUGCAUGCAUUCCGGGAAUCCAGAGAGCUGUGAAACAGACCCUCGGGUUCCAGGAACGAAAUACUCGUGGCACUGGAACUCAACGGGAGGGGAAGGAAGAGUGUGCAGGACCCAGUACAGCCCCGAGCAGCAGACAAGCUCCCUCAUCCUAUCCUCGGCUCCAUGGGGCUCAGGAAGAGCUCACUUGGUCGGUUGUCAGCCUCUGAGCUGGGCCAUGCACAGCAGCAACGAUGGCUGCUAUGAAGUGGGUCAAGAUGUCUGGCACUCAACUGGACACCGGUGGCAUGAGAGACUAGAGGAUGUCACCAACCCCUGCCUGAUCGCAACAUUCCCCCCAACCACAGCCAUAUGUAACAGGUUUGGGACAUUGUAGACUUCUACUUUUCUCUUUGAGUAUCUGGUUCUUUCUAGGUAAACUGGCCCAUAUUCUGACUAUUUUAACUGAUCUUGUCCUGC
rnacentral:lncRNA from 1 species